rnacentral:rRNA from 1 species
GAGUUUGAUCAUGGCUCAGGACGAACGCUGGCGGCGUGCUUAACACAUGCAAGUCGAGCGGAAAGGCCCUUUUGGGGGUACUCGAGCGGCGAACGGGUGAGUAACACGUGAGUAAUCUGCCCUUCACUCUGGGAUAACUGCCUGAAAGGGUGGCUAAUACCGGAUAUUCUCCUUACAUCGCAUGGUGUGGGGUGGGAAGAUUUUUGGUGGGGAUGUGCUCGCGGCCUAUCAGCUUGUUGGUGGGGUAAUGGCCUACCAAGGCUUUGACGGGUAGCCGGCCUGAGAGGGUGACCGGCCACACUGGGACUGAGACACGGCCCAGACUCCUACGGGAGGCAGCAGUGGGGAAUAUUGGACAAUGGGCGGAAGCCUGAUCCAGCAACGCCGCGUGAGGAUGACGGCCUCGGUU